GUUAGGAAUCUUAGACAAUGGGCGCAAGCCUGAUCUAGCCAUGCCGCGUGAGCGAUGAAGGCCUUAGGGUUGUAAAGCUCUUUCAGCUGGGAAGAUAAUGACGGUACCAGCAGAAGAAGCCCCGGCUAACUCCGUGCCAGCAGCCGCGGUAAUACGGAGGGGGCUAGCGUUGUUCGGAAUUACUGGGCGUAAAGCGCACGUAGGCGGAUCAGAAAGUCAGAGGUGAAAUCUCAGGGCUCAACCUUGGAACUGCCUUUGAAACUCCUGAUCGUGAGGUCGAGAGAUGUGAGUGGAAUUCCGAGUGUAGAGGUGAAAUUCGUAGAUAUUCGGAGGAACACCAGUGGCGAAGGCGGCUCACUGGCUCGAUACUGACGCUGAGGUGCGAAAGCGUGGGGAGCAAACAGGAUUAGAAACCCCAGUAGUCC
rnacentral:rRNA from 1 species